rnacentral:misc_RNA from 1 species
UAGAGUUGUAAAACUCCCAAAACCCAUGUGAACAUACCUGUUGCCUCGGUGGCCUACCCUGUAGCUACCCUGUAGUUACCCUGUAGACCGCCGACGGACCACAAAACUCUGUUUUUUUAAUAUCUCUGAGUCAACUAUAAAUAAGUUA